UGGUCUCUAGUCUAGCUGUGUCUCUAGUCUAACUGGUCUCUGGUCUAGCUGGUUUCUAGUCUAGCUGGUCUCUAGAUAAGGUAGAGAUGUAUUGGUGGGAGAGAGAGAUGUAUUGGUUGAAGAGAGAGAGAUGUAUUGGUGGGACAGAGUAGGGAUGUGUUGGUGGGAGAGAAGAGGGAUGUAUUGGUGGGAGAGAGUAGUGAUGUGUUGGUGGGAGAGAAGAGAGAUGUAUUGGUGGGAGAGAGUAGAGAUGUAUUGGUGGGAGAGAGUAGGGAUGUGUUGGUGGGAGAGAGAGAUGUAUUGGUGGGAGAGAGUAGGGAUGUAUUGGUGAGAGAAAGUAGAGAUGUGUUGGUGGGAGA
ensembl:lncRNA